UUUGGUGAAUUAUUUAAUUAGAAUUGUUAUCUAAACUGUAGCAAAAAAUCCUUAAACAUUCUUAUACAUGAUACUUUUCAAAUAUUGUUCAUAUACUGUAUUGUAAGCAAUAUUUCAUUGUAUGUAUGAUAAAAUAUUUUUCUUUUUUAAUCAAGCCUAUAUUAAAGCAAUAGACAAACUUUUUAAACCUUAUUUAUUUACAUAUUGUUCGUAUUCUAUAUUUUUGAAUAAUUGUUUACAUUCAAUUUAUGAAUCGCAGACAUUUCAAAUUCAUUAGCUAUAGGUGAAGUUUUAUUCUGAUGAUAAUAAAGAAAAUUAUAAGAAUAAUUAAAUAAUUAAUUCAAUGUAUAAUAUUAUCAUUGUAUGUACGUAUGACCUGAGAAUAUAGUCUAUAUACAACAGCAUCGUACGAUGGGCAUGAUGCAACAUGAACCGCUAAAAUAUAAGGACAAGAGAAGGUAAUUGUCUGAGCGUUAUAAAAGCAUAUGAAUUAUAGAAACAGGCUAUUCACUACCUUUAUUUGUAAAGGGUCAUUUAGUCCCUUAUAAGGAAGAGAUAUUUGUGCAUAACCCUUCCAAUUAGAUGCAUCUUACAUAUACUUUAUAGGAGUAUGCAUUACUUUUUUUACCAUAAACUCACUGCAUAUUUCUACUUUGUUUUCAUCGACCCUAUAUACAAUGUUUACCCGAGAAAAAAAAAAGUUCAAAUUACACAGAAGCAUUAUGUCAAAUCAAGACUAAAUUGCACCUCAAUAAUUCCAAAAAAAUAAAUUGCAGCGUAUCAAACAACAUAAGGAAUUAAGUCAUAACAUAAGUAACACAAUCAAGAUGUGUAAAUAUUACAUAGUAUACCCAUUUAAGUGUUUUAAGAACUGAUUUUGAUGUAUUAUUGAUUUGAGAUAUUACAACCUAUCCAAUACCUUUGAAUACGUUUUUACGGUUAGAUAUAAAUCAUACCAUGACUGAAGUACUCAAUAUUGAGCCGAUGAAAACCUCAGGGACAGCGAUGGUAUCAACUAAAUGCAUUAUCAAUGAGGUAAAAAUGACAAGUUAUGCAUUUAAUGAGCCUGAAGUACUUUUCUCGAUAAACCUUAUUUAGGAACUCAAUCCGAAAACUUGAAAGCAACGAUUUGCGUAAAAUCUGAAACUAUCGAGGAACUGUAUGACAAAAAUUACCAAUUUCGUUAAUAAUAUAUGCUUACAUUAAUUAAUACACACAUCAACAACUUUGUAAAGAAGCCAACAGGGCAACCUUAUAUGAUUUUAUUCUGUAUACACAUGUUUUACUGUACCGUCGUACCUGGUGAGAUAUAAUUCGACAGUACAUUUUGAGUCAUUAGUGCACUGUUUGGCAGCAAACUGUUUUAUUACAAAAAAAAAGAACUUUCAAAGAGUUUAUUGACAUCGACGUAACAUAUACAUAAAGAGGAAAAGGAUGAAAAAGAAAAUAAAGAUUACUGCCAUUUUUCUAGUUUGUUUAGAACUAUGCCAGGGGAUGGUAUAAUUGCACACAGAAAUCAAAAAUGUCGAACAUUUACACCAAGUCUCACCAAAAAUAUUGAUGAUUAUCAAAUAAUAUACCCUUUAAAAGUACAAUACCUUACUCAUAGAAACAACAGCAUAAGACGUAUUGCAAUAUAAAGUAUACCUUUUAUUCGCCAUGAUUUGUUUUCACGAUUUCGGAAUGGUAAAUUAAUUUGCUAUAAUGUAUAUUUAUCUUUUUUCUAUUAAUUUCUUUUGUUAGUAAGAGUCCUUGUGAAAGAUGCAAGGACAGAAUGCAGACAUGUUUGGAUGGUUAAGGAACAUAAUCUAGCAACUACGUAUGAAGUACAAGAACAAACAAACUUAUGAAAAUUGUUAAUAAUAUUUCACCAAUAACUUUAAUUGUAAUUUCCUGAACAAUUGAUAUUUCAAUGUUUUUGUAUGGAACGCCAUGACUGUCUUCUGAUGUUGAUUUUUGGUAUGUUCGGUGCUUUGUGUAUUAUGUUCAUUAGUAUUUAUAUCAUGUCCAGUAGUUUUUAUAUUAUGCUCAGUAGUUUUGACAUUAUGUUCAGUAGUUUUGACAUUAUGUUUAGUAGUUUUGACAUUAUGAUCGGUGCUUUGGUUAUUAUGUUCAGUAGUUUCAUUAUUAUAUGCAGUGGUAGUUAAAUUAUGUUGGGUACUUCUGACGAUAUCUUCAGUGCAUUUUUCAUUAUGUUCAGUACUUUAGACAUUAUGUUCAGUAGAUAAAAUAUUAUUUACAGUACAUUAUGUAUUACCUUCAGUGGUCCCGGUUUCUUUAUAUUCGGUGGAUUAUUCAUUAUGUUCAGUAAAAGCAUCAGUAUUAUAUUUUGUUCAAUGCUCUAUAUGUUCAGUGGUUGUAUCAUUAUGAUGAUGCAGUUAAAGUCGGGAAAUCAAUAACGGAAAUUGUCGAAGAAAAAAAAAACCAAAUGCCGAUAUUUUCGACGGACGUUUUCUUUAUGGAAACCUUUACGGGAUUGAAUGAAAAAGGAAGAAAUGGAAGCAGUAUUAACUUGGUUUGGUUUACUUUCACACGUUGACAAUUUUUAUAAGGAAAAAAAUACUCCUGACGUAAUUUUUACGAUGUCCUGAUUGACUGAUAAUAAUGUUUUGAACGUACAGUGGCAAAUAUUUCACGCAUUUGACUGAUUGUUAUUUUUUGAACGUACUUAGUGGCAAAUAUGUCACGCAUAUUCUAUAGCUUUUGAUUUUCUUGUAGGUAACCCUUUUUGUUGGUUUGUUGUAGCAUAUUAAUCUUAGGUACCGACUUUAAACAGACCACCAACCUUGUAGAUAUUCUUAUAGUAUUCUGCAUCCUACAUCUCUAAUAGGCGCUUUAAUAUCAGAUAUUUUUUUGAAAUAACCAAAGAAAUAUGAGGUUGUGGAUGAAGUUUACAGAAUAGAAAAUAAUGCCCACCCCCAAAAACGAAGGUGACAAAAACAUAAAGUACAGAAAAAAAAAAGGGUUGCUUAAAUGUAAAAAAAAAUCUUUCAAACU
rnacentral:lncRNA from 1 species